CCAGUUGUCAGUACAGCCCAGGGCGCCAGAGACAGAAGAAGGGGCAGCCGAGCUGCGGCUAAGAUGCAUGGGGUGGAACCCAGGUAGCGGGAAACUGAGCUGGAGUAGAGACGGACGAGCCCUGGAGACCUCAGAUUCUGAAGGCACAGAGCCACCUCGCAUCCGGGCAGAACGGGACCAGCUGCUCAUCUCACGUCCGGUACGCAGUGACCACGCCCAGUACACUUGCCAUGUCCGAAGCCCCUUUGGCCACACCGAAGCUGCAGCUGACGUCAGUGUUUUCUGUGAGUAGGGGACUGUCACCUAAGGAUUCGAGUCUUGAGUCCCUGGGGAGAAGUGGGCUCAAUGAUGUCUGUGAGUCCUUUACAAUCCAACCCUCUUGUUUCGUUCCCCAAUCCCCACCCAAGACGGCCCGGACGCUCCUGUCAUUAGGGUCUCUUCGGACCGUGACGCCAGUCCUGCGCUCUACGUCACUGCGGGCAGCAAUGUGACCUUGCAUUGCUCGGCCCCCUCGCGGCCG
rnacentral:lncRNA from 1 species